GGAGCAUCCAGAGCCCUCCAAAUGCUGCUCCGUGCAGCCAAACCCAGAGCGCCAGGCAUCAGAUGGAGCGAGGCAGCAGCUGCAGCAAUAGUUUCUGGCUUCUGGCAAGGAAAACAGAUGAGCAAAUAUUCUCUGUCUUGAAGUUAAAUGCAUUGCUGCAGCAAAAGGCCUCUCCAGCUUUCCAGCUACCAUGAAUCCUGAGCCUACUCUUAAACUGGCUGCCCUGAGUUGUUCUGUGGCACUGACUCAUGAUGCAGUCCAGUCUGGAAUGUUGCUAAUUGGCAGCUGCUGGAAACACUGAUGGAUUGGCU
rnacentral:lncRNA from 1 species